GAAGCGGUUGCGCACAGGCAGCGCGUGCGGCGCGCAUGCGCGAAGCCCGGGGUUCAAAUCCCCGACGCUCCG
rnacentral:tRNA from 1 species